rnacentral:rRNA from 1 species
AUGAACGCUGGCGGCGUGGAUAAGGCAUGCAAGUCGAACAGUUUUCUUUAUUGAAGAAGAUGCGAUUACAUCAAAUUAACAGAUAUUUUGAAAACAGUGGCGAACGAGCUAGUAACACCUUGGUACGUACCCGAAAGUUUGGUAUAGCUCGCCGAAAGGCGGGGUAAUCCCAAAUAGUCCCUUCAUCUAUCGGAUGAUAGGGUAAAGUAGCAAUACGCUUUCGGAUCGGCCUAGGUCCGAUCAGUUAGUUGGUGAGGUAAUGGCUCACCAAGACAAUGACCGGUAGGGG